rnacentral:misc_RNA from 1 species
UUGGGAUAAGGCUCCACUGUUGUUCAAAGGUUUCUUAUCACAUAGUUGAGUUGGCAUGAAUGUUUGAUAAAAAAAAUCAAGACAAACUCAUUUCAACGGUUUACAAGCCUCAGCUCAAAGAUAUUAUCACGAAACCUAUGGUUUCAAGCUAAAUAAUACAAAUUGAUACCAUUUGAUGAAAUAACAAGGAGAAAUAGCAUAAAUAUUCUUAAUACUAUUUGAAGUUAGGACCAGAUAACUGGAGCUUUAUGGCACUGAGUACUGAAUAUCUGUACCAGAUUAUGUACUAGGAUAUAUACAUAUGUAUUAGAAAUGUACAAGGGCAGUGUUUGGUAGUAAGAAUAUACACGCAAUGUUCUGGCGCAAGUUUAUGACAUAACCGCAAAGAUGGCAGUAAAUGAUGACAAUGUUCAGAAUGAGUUAAGUCGUCUGCGCUUGCGUAUUCUUCAAGAGAAAUAUGAAAGAGAGAAGGAAAUAGGGAAAGCCCUCCCUUUCAUUUCACAGUCCCAACUACCAACACAUCCCCAGCAUCAGUCUAACCAAGGCAUAGAAAGGUUGAUGGGCUUUGAUGGUACAACAAGAUUACACCAAGCCAUGUUAAAGCGUAGAGAGCUGUUGGAUCAGUUACAGAUGGAGAGGCUUUUGGAAGACCAUCAUAGACCACGAUCCUACAGCAGUAGAAGAAAGUCACCCCCAAGUACCCAUAGAAGUGUAAGGUCACUGCCAGAACUAUCUAGAGAGCCUGGCAGAAACAUCCUAGAGUUACCUAUACACCAGCAACCAGAGGAAGCCAUUGAACUACCUAGCCAGCUUCCCUUCCUACAGCCCUUACCCAACCCACCGCCACAACCACAACUUCCUAACCAGACAUCACCUGGAAAAGGAGAUGCCAUUGAGAUGCUGAUGCUGCAGAAUGCUCAGAUGCAUCAGUUAAUCAUGCAACAGAUGAUGAUGUCAGCUUUGCAACCUGGUAAACCACUUCAAAUGAUGGAAACUGAUGCCCACAGUCAUCUCAACCAACAACCUUCACAGUCUCAACCUCCUCAAAAACUCAACAACAUCUCUGUUUUACCACCAAUACAUUCUAAAAGGACUACACCUCAAGUGGUGACAUCUUUACAGCAGCCUAGAGUUGCUGACCCACCACCCCCUCCAACAUGUUCACCCACUCCCAUCAUAAUGUCUCCAAGAUACCACAAAAGUUCCUUAAAGAAAGUGAUACCAUACCCAGGCAGUAGACUACUUAGAAAGUUUCGUCAUGCUUCAUUGGCAGUGUUGUAUAUAGAAAUACUAAAGGCAAGGUCAAGGUCAAGGGAGAGAAGGACCAAAAAGUUGAAUGAUGACCUUUACUUUGAAAUCCAGCUGAAAGAGGCAGUAGCAGCUAUACAUAAAAUAUAUCUUAAUCCAAAUGGUGCUGUAUUCCCAGUGCUACUGAGGGUGUUAAACAGUGAGAAUGUGAACCUCCUUGUACAGGACAGGGGGACCAUUCUUCAGUCUAAGGAGGAUAAAUUGGCCCUAGACACACUCAGAGCAAUAAUAGAGAACAUCUCCUUUCAGAUUUCACAGAUAAGAGCAGUUCAUGGUACAUUAGGCUUGCAUAGAAAGGCGUCUGUUUUCAGUCUUAUACAACCUAACAGGAUCUUCCCCGAGUUCUACUUCUUUCAGGCUGAAUUGGUGCCCCUCCAAGUGUCAGGCACAAACAGUUUGCCAAAUGUAAGCCACACCCAGGCACAGAUGCUCAUCCUUGGGAUCUUUCUGGCAAGAGGCAUGGUCUCCACUUUGCUGUUGAAGCCAGUUGAGUAUGGCUUGCUACCCACACUGCCAAGUGAUAAUCUACAAAGAAACUUAGCAGUUGUUGCUACAAUAUUGAUAUAUGUCUACAGGAGGACUGCAGUGCCUAAGAAGUCUAAAAUAAUGGCAGAGUCGAGGGAGUUGUCCCAAUAUCUGGUGAAUGAGGAGCAAAUGGCGUACAUAUACAAGAAAUUAAAGUCAUCCAUACAAUAUUCUGAGGAUGUUUUGAGAGAUUGGGUGGAGGAAUAUACGUCCAGGCUGAACAAUGCAUAGGAACAUCAAGUAUUUUGUUAUAUGGAGUACUCUCUGUACAUUAGUGACUUGAUGAUGUAUGUUUGUUACUUAACAACGAGUAUCGAGUAUUGGCAGACACAACAUCAACCAGGUUGGUGGACUAACCAACAACUACUAACAAACAUCUAACAAAAAACUAAUAACAAUAACAAUGAACUACUAACACCGAACUACUAAAACAACUAACAAUGAACUACUAACUAAUAUUUACUAACAAGCAGUAUUACCAUAUCUUGUAGGCUUUAUUUUUUCUAAGCUUUCGGAAAAAUGUUUAUGCCCAAUUCUAUUGAUUGUGCAAGUUAUGAAUAAAAGAUGGGGU